rnacentral:rRNA from 1 species
CUUACCGAUGGCGACCGGCGCACGGGUGAGUAACACGUAUCCAACCUGCCGAUAACUCGGGGAUAGCCUUUCGAAAGAAAGAUUAAUAUCCGAUAGGAUAUCAAGAUCGCAUGACCUUGAUAUUAAAGAAUUUCGGUUAUCGAUGGGGAUGCGUUCCAUUAGUUAGUUGGCGGGGUAACGGCCCACCAAGACGACGAUGGAUAGGGGUUCUGAGAGGAAGGUCCCCCACAUUGGAACUGAGACACGGUCCAAACUCCUACGGGAGGCAGCAG